CAUAUUGGUCAUAAGCCAGCUUGGUGCCAAUGAAGGAAACUGCAAAGAUGCACACUAGAAGAAGUGCACAAACUGUUGGGCAGAGAAUUGCACCUAACUUGCUGCUGCGGUUGGAUCGGAUUUCGGAUCCUAAUUCCGAAUCGGUUAUACUGGGUCUUGCUGAUACCUUUGUCAUUACUGGAAAAAGCUAAGCGAAAAUGCGAUACAUCCUCUAUUUUCUGGUAUAUUCUUGCCUAUUAGUGGCCCUGUUCUCCACGUUCCUGUACCUGAUGACUGUGGUCGACCCUGGUCUGCUGCACCUCUCUGAUAAGGCAGCUAGUAUGAUGAAGACGAACAGGGAAGGUGUUCAAGCAAGUCGUGAUCAGUUGCCUCCAGAAAUGUAUAUUGACUUUAGCGAGAUCUUCAACAGAAGCAGAAAUGUGGUCUAAUCUGCGUUUUACCGCAGUCGGUAAUAUGGUUAUGUUCAAAUAAAGUUGUUGAAUAAAA